GAUGUACUUAGGUGAGGUUUUGGAAUUUGUGUCAAAUGUUCAGACUCCUUGGUGUUUUUCCAUGCAAUACAAUGUAAAAUAUUUUGCCUCAUAACACCCAUUUAUUUUUUCAUACAAGACUUAAUAGCUCAUGAAAGGUCAUUUACCAAAAUUUUAGAAGAUUCUUGAUUUUCUUUCUUUUGUUUUGAGAUCCAAAUAAUACCAAUGCAAAUAUAAGGUAAAAGUCUGAGUCAGCCUUUUCCCGCCAUAUUUUAAACAUCAAAUAUCUCGAAAAGGAGGUCCAUGACCUAUCAAUAUUUUUAGCUUAUCUUUAUCCUUAAUUGAUGCUCUACCAGCUUAAAGUAUCAAUUUUAGUUUCUUAAUUUCUUAUUUUUUACCUAACUUCACCUAAGUAUAUCCUUAAG
rnacentral:lncRNA from 1 species